GCAUACGAGUACAUCUCCAUCCGUGAAGACUUACGAGAAACACAGGAGAGGAUCGCGUCAGUGUAUGUGUCCAGAUUCAUUCAUUCAUUUCCUUCAAACAUUACCUACCCGCUUUCAAUGCCCUCGCAUUCGCCAUUUUUCCAUUUUCGUAACAUGACAUUUGGCACAAAACCACUCACCAAAAUAGCAAAACCUCAUUCAUAUCUCCCCAAUUACCAAUACCAUCAACUUUCAACACAUUCAGACACCCCCAACUUUCUUCCUGAUAAAACUAGUGAAACUGUUUCAAUGUCAACUGUGAGCAAUGCUACAAAUAUAUUUUGGCAAGAUUGUCAACUAGGAAAGCCUGAACGCCAGAAGCUACUUAACCAAAAGGGAUGCGUUGUAUGGAUUACUGGACUCAGCGGAUCAGGAAAAAGCACAUUGGCAUGUUCUUUAAGCAGCGAACUGCACUCAAAGGGAAAAUUAUCUUAUAUUCUUGAUGGAGAUAACCUUCGCCAUGGACUAAACAAGGAUCUUGGUUUUAAACCUGAAGACCGCACUGAAAAUAUUCGCAGAACUGGUGAAGUGGCGAAACUCUUCGCGGAUGCUGGUCUAAUAUGUGUUGCGAGUCUGAUAUCUCCUUAUCGAAGAGACCGGGAUACUUGUCGUGCCAUGUUGCCUGAUGCCAAUUUUAUUGAGGUCUACAUGAACAUGCCUCUAGCAUUGUGCGAGGCACGGGAUCCUAAAGGCCUCUAUAAGCUUGCUCGUGCUGGAAAGAUCAAAGGUUUUACCGGCAUUGAUGAUCCGUAUGAACCACCCUUGAAUUGUGAGAUAGAAUUAAAGGAGGACAAUGGAGUUUGUCCGACGCCAAAUGUGAUGGCAGGACAAGUUGUUUCUUACCUGGAGGAGAAAGGAUUUCUUCAUUGUUAGGGAGAUGUUCAUAUAUCUAUUGUCUGAUUUCGAUGACUCCCAGUAUAUUCUCUAACUAUAAUGUUUCUUCCAGUCGAAGUUGAAAUCGUAUUAAGUGGACUUGUAAAAUUCAUCAGCUAUAUAUAUGAAAACAGCCAUUCCAUUGAAUGGUGAAGAUUAAAUAAUUGUGAAUUAUGUGCAGCUCAAGAGUUAAGGCUCAUAAUCUCUUUUAAGUUUUACACAUUCAAGUAUUUUCAACAACCAGAUACAAGGCUAUGUUUUGACUAUGACUAUUAGAGAGUGUGAUUUUUGUUUUCAUGUGUUUAGUCCUAAUGAACAAGUUAAUCGGUUCAUUAUGAGUAGUUUAAAUAUACAAUCACUUGUUUUUUUCUUGGAAAUUGGCUGUCAAAAUAUUUUUAUAAUUCUGGCAACUAAUGAACUAAUUAUUGAGUCAACAA